UACGGAGGAUGCGAGCGUUAUCCGGAUUUAUUGGGCUUAAAGGGUGCGUAGGCGGACGCUUAAGUCAGCGGUAAAAUUGCGGGGCUCAACCUCGUCGAGCCGUUGAAACUGGGUGCCUUGAGUGGGCGAGAAGUACGCGGAAUGCGUGGUGUAGCGGUGAAAUGCAUAGAUAUCACGCAGAACUCCGAUUGCGAAGGCAGCGUACCGGCGCCCAACUGACGCUGAAGCACGAAGGCGUGGGUAUCGAACAGG
rnacentral:rRNA from 1 species